AUGUUCUAAUUCAAUAUCCUCAAUAUUUUAGGGGGGGGGUGGGGGGAUUCACAUUUUUUGGGUGAUAUCAUUGGGUUUUCUUAUAACUUUUCAUAGCGCUCAGUUUUUCUGAAACAAAUACAAAUACGAGGUGGGUAAUUUGUAUUGCUUAUGAUUUAUGUUAACAGUGACAUAGCUCAUCGCAUUGCUCCAGGCCAGUGGACAGUCAAGUUUGGUAGAGACAUCAAGGGUUUUCAUCACCAAACUACUGGAAAUAAUUGUGGUAUCUACAUACUUAUGAAUGCACUCAGCCUGAGCACAGAUGCUCCAUUUUGGUGUACUGAG